GUCUGCUGCGUCAUUUCUCCUCCUGCACAAACACGGACGUCGGGAUGGAAUUGACAGAAGCUCUCUUCAGAUACCAGCUGGCCUGGCCUCAUAUGCACUGCUUUUUAGCUGCGCUGUGCCUCGUUGCCGCCGUGUACAAAUUAACCUUCAUCCUCCUCAAACGGAAGGCUGUUCUGAAGAGCUUUGAAGCCUUUCCAGGACCCCCGGCACACUUGUUGUUUGGAAAUGUUCUGGAGUUUAAACAAGAUGGGACCGACUUGUUCAAGGUGUUAAAGUGGGCGGAGAGCUAUCCCUAUGCUUUCCCUUUGUGGUUCGGUCCAUCUGUUUGUAUUCUCAACAUUCACCACCCAGAUUAUGUCAAAACUAUACUAGCAUCAACAGAGCCAAAGGAUAGUUUUGCAUAUAAAUUUAUCGAGUCUUGGAUUGGAAAUGGUUUGUUGGUAUCAAAAGGUCAGAAGUGGUUUCGCCACCGGAGGCUCCUGACUCCAGGUUUCCAUUAUGAUGUUUUAAAACCAUAUGUGAAACUGAUGUCAGACUCUGCCAAAAUAAUGCUGGACAAAUGGGAAUGCUAUGCCAACUCUAAAGAGACCUUUGAAUUGUUUGAGCAUGUCAGCCUGAUGACACUGGAUAGCAUCCUGAAGUGUGCCUUUAGCUGCAACAGCAACUGUCAGACAGAGGGGGGAACAAAUGUCUACAUCAAAGCAGUGUAUGAGCUCACCAAUCUUAUUAACUUCCGGGUGAGAAUGUUUCCAUACCACAGCGAUCUUAUUUUCCACCUCAGCCCACAUGGUUUCAGAUACAGGAAAGCAUUCAAGGUGGCUCGCAGUCAUACAGAUAAGGUCAUCAAAAAGAGGAAAGAAGCACUAAAGGAAGAGACAGAACUGGGCCGCAUACAGGCCAAAAGAUACUUGGAUUUUCUGGACAUUCUCCUCUUUGCGCGAGACGAAAACCAGCAGGGCCUGUCAGAUGAAGACCUGCAAGCAGAAGUGGACACUUUUAUGUUCGAGGGGCACGACACCACAGCCAGUGGCAUCUCGUUCAUCCUCUACUGCUUGGCCUGCCACCCAGAACACCAGAAGCUCUGCAGGGAUGAAAUUUGUGAAGCUUUACAAGGCAAAGACACCAUGGAGUGGGAGGAUCUUAAUAAAAUUCCAUACACAACAAUGUGCAUCAAAGAAUCCCUUCGUCUUUACCCUCCUGUGCCAGGAAUAUCCAGGCAGAUCACUAAACCCAUCACCUUCUUUGAUGGAAGAACAUUGCCAGCAGGCUCUCACAUUGGAGUAAGUGUGUUUGCAACUCACAGAAACUCAACAGUCUGGGAAAACCCUCAUGUCUUUGACCCGCUGCGUUUCCUCCCAGAAAAUGUCUCAAAGAGGUCACCUCAUGCAUUUGUGCCUUUCUCAGCUGGACCAAGAAACUGCAUCGGCCAGACUUUUGCUAUGAAUGAGUUGAAGGUGGUGACAGCCUUGACACUGAAGCGGUACGAGCUGAUAGAGGAUCCCAACAUGAAGCCCAAGAUGAUUCCCAGACUGGUUCUCCGCUCACUUAAUGGCAUCCACAUCAAGAUCAAACCAGUGGAACCAGAAAUGUGAUGGAGAAAAAGAAUCUGUUGGAUUCAAUCAAAGAGAAUCCAUUCACUUUCUAACUAUUUAGAAAGUGAAUUGUGUAGAAGAUCAAAAAGAGUUACUUUGUAUGUCUUUACUUUCUAACUACUUAGAAAGUGAAUUAGAUAAAAAAAAAAAACAAACAUAAAUUUCAAUAAGUUUUUACACUAAUGUCUCAUGAUGAGGAAAUUUGUUAUGUUUUAAACCAUUUGUUUUUGGAAUAUUUGUACCGUUUAUCUGAAAUGGGUUUGUUAUAUAUUUGGAGACAAGCUUAAUCUUGAAGCAAAACUAUAAGCAUUGCAUUAUAAUAAAGCACUUUGUUGUAAUACUGAAGAAUGUGACUAAAAUAGUGAGAUUGAAUAUUUUUUACAUUAACUAACAAUUCAUUUCUGCAGCUAGGAAUAUGUUAUAUUUCUAUUGUUGGGGUAAAUUAAAACAGAAAAAGAAAAUAAGUUCACCCAUUUAUUUGUAAUGGAAACUUCAUGAUGUAAGACUGAUGGUUAAAAUAUGAAACAUUUAAGGAAAGAAAAGAGUAUAAUGUUUUUAAACUAUAAGCACUAAGUGUACCUUAGUGCAGGCUGGUUAAAUAAUGUAAAAAAAAAGAAUUACUUUGUAUGUGACCUAAUCUCAAAGUGAUUUUUUUGUUACAUUUUUCCAUUUAAAUUAGGUCAAUAGUGAAUGUUUUAACUCCAUGAGAGUCUAAAAAAUAAAACGCUGUCUGAAUUUGAAUUAACUAGAAAUAACCUCAAGAUAUGCUACUACAAAAGAAUUACAACACUGAAAAGCACAACUCUAAAAAUGAGGCUUUUUUUUUAAAUCACACCCUUGAACUGGGUAUUACAAGAUGCAACUCAAGAUUGCAUGCUGAAACAUAUAGCCCCAACAUUUUGACAAGGGUGUGUAUACUUUUGAGAUGUCCUGUCUUUUUGCAUUCAGCUUCUUUUCCGAUAGAAUGAAAAGGACACCAUGACAGUUGUGCAGGCUCCAAACUCAAAAUGAAUGAAUGGUUGAGAUGUAAAAAAGAAAUCUAAGUUUGUGUUGAUUGUACCGGAAUAAGAGAGCAAAUGAUAAAAUAUACAA